UGGGAAUUUUGGACAAUGGGGGCAACCCUGAUCCAGCAAUGCCGCGUGAGUGAAGAAGGCCUUCGGGUUGUAAAGCUCUUUUGUCAGGGAAGAAACGGUAGUAGCGAAUAACUACUACUAAUGACGGUACCUGAAGAAUAAGCACCGGCUAACUACGUGCCAGCAGCCGCGGUAAUACGUAGGGUGCAAGCGUUAAUCGGAAUUACUGGGCGUAAAGCGUGCGCAGGCGGUUGUGUAAGUCAGAUGUGAAAUCCCCGGGCUCAACCUGGGAAUUGCAUUUGAGACUGCACGGCUAGAGUGUGUCAGAGGGGGGUAGAAUUCCACGUGUAGCAGUGAAAUGCGUAGAUAUGUGGAGGAAUACCGAUGGCGAAGGCAGCCCCCUGGGAUAACACUGACGCUCAUGCACGAAAGCGUGGGGAGCAAACAGGAUUAGAUACCCCAGUAGUCCCUGAGCGGGCUGGCAAGGCGCAU
rnacentral:rRNA from 1 species